rfam:Ictidomys tridecemlineatus contig002943, whole genome shotgun sequence.
GGGGAUGUAGCUCAGUGGUAGAGCGCUUGCCUCGCAUGUGUGAGGCACUGGGUUUUAUCCUCAGCACCACUU